rnacentral:misc_RNA from 1 species
UAAUCUCACUCCGACAACUUUUUGGUUGUCUGGAGGUGGACUUGGACUCUUGCCGUGUUACAACGGCUGGUCUGAAAAGCAUGAGUGCACCCUGCUGUUGCAGCGUCUUCAGUGUGAUAAGUAUCUUCACUGAGUAAGUUCCCUCUGGGACAUGCCUUGCCGGUGGGCUCUGUGCUUCCAACCGUCUUGCAUUAGACAACACUUGACA